rnacentral:rRNA from 1 species
CGGUGUUCAACUGGCGUGUCCGCGGGACGUCCUGCCGGUGGGCUUAGUCCGCAAGGGCGGCCCAACUUCAAAUCCCAUCGCGGUGCUCUUCACUGAGUGUCGAGGUGGGCCGGCACGUUUACUUUGAACAAAUUAGAGUGCUUAAAGCAGGCUAAAACUUCGCCUGAAUACUGUGUGCAUGGAAUAAUGGAAUAGGACCUCGGUUCUAUUUUGUUGGUUUUCGGAACCCCGAGGUAAUGAUUAAUAGGAACGGAUGGGGGCAUUCGUAUUGCGACGUUAGAGGUGAAAUUCUUGGAUCGUCGCAAGACGGACAGAAGCGAAAGCAUUUGCCAAAAACGCUUUCAUUGAUCAAGAACGAAAGUUAGAGGUUCGAAGGCGAUCAGAUACCGCCCUAGUUCUAACCAUAAACGAUGCCAGCUAGCGAUCCGUCGACGUUCCUCCGAUGACUCGACGGGCAGCUUCCGGGAAACCAAAGCUUUUGGGUUCCGGGGGAAGUAUGGUUGCAAAGCUGAAACUUAAAGGAAUUGACGGAAGGGCACCACCAGGAGUGGAGCCUGCGGCUUAAUUUGACUCAACACGGGAAACCUCACCAGGCCCGGACACCGGAAGGAUUGACAGAUUGAGAGCUCUUUCUUGAUUCGGUGGGUGGUGGUGCAUGGCCGUUCUUAGUUGGUGGAGCGAUUUGUCUGGUUAAUUCCGAUAACGAACGAGACUCUAGCCUGCUAACUAGGCGUAUUUUCGACAUCUCAAAGGUCCGUCGUCCCGGCCCUCGGGUCGUGGGCGUGCGCGAUUUUUACUGUCGGCGUACUAUCAAUUCUUCUUAGAGGGACAGGUGGCUUCUAGCCGCACGAGAUUGAGCAAUAACAGGUCUGUGAUG